AGCUGCAGAGACUCCGUCUUCGUAGCCCAUUAUGCUGCCGUCUCUGCGCCGAUGACAGCCCGAGGAUUGGAAUGCUGUUGCCACUGACGCGAAUCCAGGCAGUCCUUGCCUGCAACACAAAAAGUGCAGGAAUGACAAGGUGCCAGAAGAAGACUUGGUGCAUCCCUUUUAAUAUGUUAAAAAAACAAAAAGAUGAUGUCAUUAUGUCACUAAGUCAAAAAGAAGAAAAAUAAAUACGUAAUUCCGAUUUCCAAAGAUGGCCGCCGAAAACGUUACAUCCGACACCUUAUAUGACACUACUUCUGGCUCUUCCUGAUGACAUCGCUACCAUUACCACAUCACUUCCAGUCCACUGUUGAUGAUGUCACCUCUGUCCCACAGCUUUGAUGUCAUCUCCUGCCAACUCACUUCCCAUCUCCAUUUUGUUUUCUGUAUAAAAGCGCCAUUUUUUAUGAUAACGAUGUCAAAU